GAUGAACUCAUAUAUGUUUAUUGUUUGAAAUUGAUAAGGAUGGUUUGGCUUCUGGACGAUGAGUACGACACGAAACACCGGGCCUACAUGAUGCGCGAGAAGGAGAAGAAGCUUGAACCUCUGAAGAUUCGGUAUCACGGGGUCUCUGGUCCUGCCAUGCCUUACGAUGAUCGGUACACACCAUACAUCAAGCAGACAGGACUACUCCUGUGGAUUCAGUUGGUCAGCCGGUCCACGCCGAAUCUGAACGCUCCACUGGUGUCCGCUCUUGUUGAUCGGUGGAGGCCGGAGACGCACAGUUUCCAUCUUCGGACUGAGAUGACCGUGACGCUCGAAGAUGUCUCGUUGAUCACCGGUCUUGCCAUCGACAGGAGGCCUCUCUGUAUGAGCAUCGAUUCUGAUGGGUGGCGCGAGCAGGUGGUUGCUCUUAUCGGUAUGGCUCCUACCGAGGCUGAGGCUGAUGUAGAGGAGGGAGAACAGAAGAAGAAAAUGGAAAGGAAAGCAGCCGGAGCUGCUUUCACGGGGAUUCAAAAUAACUUUGUGACGUGCCCUCCGGAUGCCACUGAUGAUGUGAUCCAAACACAUGCUCGUGUGUAUAUGUGGUACGUUGUGUUGAGGACUUUGUUUCCUGACUCCACUGGCAAGAACACUCCAUGGAUGUGGCUGAAGGCGUUGACCGUCUUC
rnacentral:rRNA from 1 species